rnacentral:rRNA from 1 species
GACGAACGCUGGCGGCGUGCUUAACACAUGCAAGUCGAACGGAAAGGCCCCUUUGGGGGUACUCGAGUGGCGAACGGGGGAGUAACACGUGAGUAACCUGCCCUUGACUUCGGGAUAACUUCAGGAAACUGGGGCUAAUACCGGAUAGGAAUCCUUGCUGCAUGGUGGGGGUUGGAAAGCUUCGGCGGUUUUGGAUGGACUCGCGGCUUAUCAGCUUGUUGGUGGGGUAGUGGCUUACCAAGGCUUUGACGGGUAGCCGGCCUGAGAGGGUGACCGGCCACAUUGGGACUGAGAGACGGCCCAGACUCCUACGGGAGGCAGCAGUGGGGAAUCUUGCACAAUGGGCGGAAGCCUGAUGCAGCAACGCCGCGUGCGGGAUGACGGCCUUCGGGUUGUAAACCGCUUUCAGCAGGGGCGAAGCUUGUGGUGACGGUACCUGCAGAAGAAGCACCGGCUAACUACGUG